rnacentral:rRNA from 1 species
UACGGAAGGCAGCAGUGGGGGAAUAUUGCACAAUGGGCGCAAGCCUGAUGCAGCCAUGCCGCGUGUAUGAAGAAGGCCUUCGGGUUGUAAAGUACUUUCAGUCGUGAGGAAGGUGUUAAGGUUAAUAACCUUAGCAAUUGACGUUAGCGACAGAAGAAGCACCGGCUAACUCCGUGCCAGCAGCCGCGGUAAUACGGAGGGUGCGAGCGUUAAUCGGAAUUACUGGGCGUAAAGGGCACGCAGGCGGUUAAUUAAGUUGGAUGUGAAAUCCCCGGGCUUAACCUGGGAAUGGCAUUCAAGACUGGUUAGCUAGAGUCUUGUAGAGGGGGUAGAAUUCCAUGUGUAGCGGUGAAAUGCGUAGAGAUGUGGAGGAAUACCGGUGGCGAAGGCGGCCCCUGGCAAAACUGACGCUCAUGUGCGAAAGCGUGGGGAGCAAACAGGGAUUAGAUACC